rnacentral:lncRNA from 1 species
UUCCUUUCUUUCCUUCAUUUCUCCAUUUCCUUUUUCCUUCCUUCCUUCCUUCCUUCAUCUUUUCUUUCUUUCUUUCUUUCUUUCUUUCUUUCUUUCUUUCUUUCUUUCUUUCUUUCUUUCUUUCUUUCCUUCCUUCCUUCCUUCUGUUGUUAUCUAUAAAUUGAUGUCCUCUAUAUAAUAUAUAUAAUAUGGACACUUGACAAUUAUUUUUUCCCUUCCUUCUAAUAACAUUUUAAGUGCCUACUCUGUGCCAGGCACUGGCUGAGUACAUAAAGAUAAAAUCAGUGAAGUUGUUUGUUUUGUUUUUGUGGGGAAGAAGCAAGCAUAGCGAUUUGCUCUCAUAACUUUAGGGAGGAGGAAUGCUAAUUCCUUACUCUUUUAUCUCUUGUCUUAGUCCACCCACCCCCCAAUUACCAAUGGGUACCACAGGGCUCAAUGAAAUAAGUAUCUUCAGGAACUCUUUCCUCUGAUGUUUCUGUCGAUUCUUCCUUCCAUUUUCUCCCUCCAGAUUUGAGGGUGACCUCCUCCUACCAGUCCCACCACUAAGCUAUUACCACUCACACCACUUUGAUGAGCAAGGAGUCAUCAACUACAAUCCAUUUGGUAAGACUGAGGGCCACUCGGCCUCACCAUCUGCCUUGCUUUGGGCACCAUCCAGACUCCCUCAGGCUAUUGCCAUCUGACCUGCUGAUGCAACCAGAGGAUUCCUGGGCCUUGAAAUCCACCCUGCAGCCUACAAGGUUUCAUUUUCUUCAUUGUUCUCCAAGACUGAGUCCAACAGCAAGACUUUUGCAGACAAAAAAAGUAUGGGUUCCCCCGGACUUGCUCUCCUCCCAAUAUCCCUUCCUUGACCAAAUCCAUGACUCCCUCCCUUUUCCCCUCCAGAUCCCCACUCCUUACAUUCCCAGUUUCAUUGGCAAGGAGAGCUUCCCAGGAACACUUGGCCUUAUUCAGCUUCAAGACCAAAAUCAGAAGGACCUGUCACAGGAACUCUGUUUUGGUAGCUGCUAAUUCAUCCCAGCAGCACUAGGGAAACAGAUGUCGUUAUCUUCAUUUACUUCAUUUUACUGAUGAAGAAACUGUCAUUAAAAGACAGUAAAUGAUGAGCAUUCAAAAUCACAUAAAUGCCAGAGCUAGAGGAGAAUCCAGUCCUUCUGACUCAUCCAGUGGUCUUAAAUCAUAAUAUACAACAGGGUUCAGGAAUGGAAAAGUGUAUAUGCA